rnacentral:rRNA from 1 species
UGGGGAAUUUUGGACAAUGGGCGCAAGCCUGAUCCAGCCAUGCCGCGUGCGGGAAGAAGGCCUUCGGGUUGUAAACCGCUUUUGUCAGGGAAGAAAUCUUCUGAGUUAAUACCUCGGGAGGAUGACGGUACCUGAAGAAUAAGCACCGGCUAACUACGUGCCAGCAGCCGCGGUAAUACGUAGGGUGCAAGCGUUAAUCGGAAUUACUGGGCGUAAAGCGUGCGCAGGCGGUUUUGUAAGACAGAGGUGAAAUCCCCGGGCUCAACCUGGGAACUGCCUUUGUGACUGCAAGGCUUGAGUGCGGCAGAGGGGGGAUGGAAUUCCGCGUGUAGCAGUGAAAUGCGUAGAUAUGCGGAGGAACACCGAUGGCGAAGGCAAUCCCCUGGGCCUGCACUGACGCUCAUGCACGAAAGCGUGGGGAGCAAACAGGAUUAGAUAGCCCUGGUAGUCCACGCCCUAAACGAUGUCAACUGGUUGUUGGGAAGGUUCCUUCUCAGUAACGUAGCUAACGCGUGAAGUUGACCGUCUGGGGAGUACGGCCGCAAGGUUGAAACUCAAAUGAAUUGACGGGGUCAUAGCAUGUUUCC